CCUACGGUGUGCAGCAGUGGGGAAUAUUGCACAAUGGGGGAAACCCUGAUGCAGCGACGCCGCGUGAGUGAAGAAGUAAUUCGUUAUGUAAAGCUCUAUCAGCAGGGAAGAAACAGACGGUAACUGAGGAAGAAGCCCCGGCUAACUACGUGCCAGCAGCCGCGGUAAUACGUAGGGGGCAAGCGUUAUCAGGAUUUACUGGGUGGGAAGGGAGCGGAGACGGCGAAGAAAGUCUGAAGUGAAAGCCCGCGGCUUAACCGCGGAACUGCUUUGGAAAGUUUUUUGCUGGAGUACCGGAGAGGUAAGCGGGAUUCCUAGUGUAGCGGUGAAAUGCGUAGAUAUUAGGAGGAACAUCAGUGGCGAAGGCGACUAUCUGGCACAUAACUGACGCUGAGGAGCGAAAGCGUGGGUAGCAAACAGGAUUAGAUACCCCAGUAGUC
rnacentral:rRNA from 1 species